rnacentral:rRNA from 1 species
CCCGCACAAGCGGUGGAGCAUGUGGUUUAAUUCGAUGCAACGCGAAGAACCUUACCUGGUCUUGACAUCCACAGAACUUAGCAGAGAUGCUUUGGUGCCUUCGGGAACUGUGAGACAGGUGCUGCAUGGCUGUCGUCAGCUCGUGUUGUGAAAUGUUGGGUUAAGUCCCGCAACGAGCGCAACCCUUAUCCUUUGUUGCCAGCGGUUAGGCCGGGAACUCAAAGGAGACUGCCAGUGAUAAACUGGAGGAAGGUGGGGAUGACGUCAAGUCAUCAUG